rnacentral:tRNA from 1 species
GGGCCUAUAGCUCAGUUGGCAGAGCAAGGGACUUUUAAUCCUUGGGUCGCGGGUUCGAGCCCCGCUGGGCCCACCA